UGGGGAAUAUUGGACAAUGGGCGCAAGCCUGAUCCAGCCAUGCCGCGUGAGUGAUGAAGGCCCUAGGGUUGUAAAGCUCUUUCACCGGUGAAGAUAAUGACGGUAACCGGAGAAGAAGCCUCGGCUAACUUCGUGCCAGCAGCCGCGGUAAUACGAAGGGGGCUAGCGUUGUUCGGAUUUACUGGGCGUAAAGCGCACGUAGGCGGACUUUUAAGUCAGGGGUGAAAUCCCGGGGCUCAACCCCGGAACUGCCUUUGAUACUGGAAGUCUUGAGUAUGGUAGUGAUGAGUGGAAUUCCGAGUGUAGAGGUUAGAAUCGUAGAUAUUCGGAGAAACACCAGGGGCGAAAGCGGCUCGCUGGACCAUUACUAACGCUGAGGUGCAAAAGCGUGGGGAGCAAACAGG
rnacentral:rRNA from 1 species